GAUGAACGCUGGCGGCGUGCCUAAUACAUGCAAGUCGAGCGAACAGACGAGGAGCUUGCUCCUCUGACGUUAGCGGCGGACGGGUGAGUAACACGUGGAUAACCUACCUAUAAGACUGGGAUAACUUCGGGAAACCGGAGCUAAUACCGGAUAAUAUAUUGAACCGCAUGGUUCAAUAGUGAAAGACGGUUUUGCUGUCACUUAUAGAUGGAUCCGCGCCGCAUUAGCUAGUUGGUAAGGUAACGGCUUACCAAGGCAACGAUGCGUAGCCGACCUGAGAGGGUGAUCGGCCACACUGGAACUGAGACACGGUCCAGACUCCUACGGGAGGCAGCAGUAGGGAAUCUUCCGCAAUGGGCGAAAGCCUGACGGAGCAACGCCGCGUGAGUGAUGAGGGUCUUCGGAUCGUAAAACUCUGUUAUUAGGGAAGGACAAAUGUGUAAGUAACUAUGCACGUCUUGACGGUACCUAAUCAGAAAGCCACGGCUAACUACGUG
rnacentral:rRNA from 1 species